UCAUUGUUUCUAUCAUUUGAGUACCUUUGAAAUGCUUUUUGUGUGGGAAUAUUAUUUUCUUUUCCUGUGUGAUAAUGAUGUGGGCAGUAAAAUGUUUAAACUGACAGGGCUUAUUUUGUUGAAAUGGUGCAGCUUUGCAUCUUUUUGUUGCUCUAACACCGGAACCUUGUAAAAUAUUAUUGACCGCCUAGAGUUCCUAGGAAAUUCUACAAAUUUUCCAAAUUAACUAUCUUUUACAUUGACUAUCUCCUUACCAAAAAAAGUUUUUAUUAGGGCUUAGGCAUCACAAAGAAAUAAAAAGACGGACAUUAAGCCCUUGUUUGGGGUAGCUUCUUGGCUUUUGGCUUUAGCUAAAAGGUGAAGUUAUGAUUUCAAAGGGAUAAUCUUGCUCUUAUCCAAAAAAUUCAUUAAUCAUGAAACAACUUCAUAUAUAAGCUAAAGCAGACUUUCAUGUGUAACAACAUUGCUCUUCCUUUCUUGUUAAACUCUUUUUAAACCUUAAGUUCUAUUAACAAAAUUACCCAAACAGACUCCUAUAGGCUCGCAAAAGAGGUUUUUUCCUCCCAAAAGGUCGAUGAUCCAAAUGGCCCCAAACUGAAUGUCAAAUCGUGCAAAUUGAGUUUGUCAUUAUUGUUUCUCAAGAUAAUUGUAACUACUUGAGUUCUCUACAUGAAUUCAUUGUGCUUCAUAUCUCUAGAAAUUGUCAUAUCCUUUGUCAAUAAUGCUGUUUCUUGCAGCCUUAAUCCAUCCUUCUAAGCCUUCUUUCAUGUCUACAUGUUAAAUCAAAUCUUUUCUUCAUAAAGACCUCAGUUGUUGUCAUUUCUAUCUUCUUGUGUGUAUUCAUUUUUUAAAGCUUUAUGUUGAUAAGGUAUGCUUUUGUUUUACAAUGGCUAUCUACUUACCAUCACAUUCCCUUUGUGGGCCAGGCUUUGUAUGGAUAAGGGCAUCAAACACAACAUUGGAGUUAGAAAAUCAGGGAAUUUAAGCCCCUUAGUAUCAUUCCUCAACAUAAUCGCAAAAUUUGCAACUACUUAGGGUUGAAUACAUGAAUUAUUUUAUGCUAUUACACUCUAUCUGGGAUCAUAUCCUCUAUUCAUCAUGUUGUCUCCCUUGACCUCUAAUCAUACUAUUGGCUUUCUGAUUUUUUUACUCUUUUAGCUAAUGUUGAAUGGUUCCCUUCAAUUAGUUAUAGGUUUGAACCCUCUUCGAUAACACCCCCUUUUCUAUCUUGAAUUAUUGUUGCUUCUAUCUUUUUGUAGUGCAUUCACAUUUUAAAAAGAUUUAUCUCUAUAAGGGGUGAUUGUAUAAUUUGCAUGUUUUACAUUGGCUACUCCUGCCACAAUAUUGCUUUAGGCUAUUUCAUAAGACAAGACAUGAUACACAACUCUUGUGGUGUUAAAAGUUCCUAGAAACAUAAUCUAUUGGUAUUGUUUUUACUCUUAAUAGGGAAAAGAAAUGCAUUAGUAUUAUUUUGCUCUCUCUCUCUCCCUUCCUCUCUCUCUCUCUCUCUC
rnacentral:lncRNA from 1 species